rnacentral:rRNA from 1 species
AUACGGAGGGAGCGAACGUUGUUCGGAUUUACUGGGUGUAAAGGGUGCGUAGGCGGCUCUGUAUGUCAGAGGUGAAAUCCAACGGCUCGACCGUUGAAUUGCCCCUGAAACUGCAGAGCUUGAGUCCGUGAGAGGAAGAUGGAAUUCCUGGUGUAACGGUGAAAUGUGCAGAUAUCAGGAAGAACACCGAUGGCGAAGGCAGUCUUCUGGCACGGUUCUGACGCUGAGGCACGAAAGCUAGGGUAUCGAACGGGAUUAGAAACCCCAGUAGUCC